rnacentral:rRNA from 1 species
AUUGAACGCUGGCGGCAUGCCUUACACAUGCAAGUCGAACGGUAACGGGCCUUCGGGUGCCGACGAGUGGCGAACGGGUGAGUAAUGCAUCGGAACGUACCUUUCAGUGGGGGAUAACGUAGCGAAAGUUACGCUAAUACCGCAUAUUCUGUGAGCAGGAAAGCAGGGGAUCGCAAGACCUUGUGCUGAUUGAGCGGCCGAUGUCAGAUUAGAUAGUUGGUGAGGUAAAGGCUCACCAAGGCGACGAUCUGUAGCGGGUCUGAGAGGAUGAUCCGCCACACUGGGACUGAGACACGGCCCAGACUCCUACGGGAGGCAGCAGUGGGGAAUUUUGGACAAUGGGGGCAACCCUGAUCCAGCCAUGCCGCGUGAGUGAAGAAGGCCUUCGGGUUGUAAAGCUCUUUCGGCCGGGAAGAAAUCGCACAGGCUAAUACCUUGUGUGGAUGACGGUACCGGAAUAAGAAGCACCGGCUAACUACGUGCCAGCCGCCGCCGUAAAAC